rnacentral:rRNA from 1 species
AAGAGUUUGAUCAUGGCUCAGGACGAACGCUGGCGGCGUGCUUAACACAUGCAAGUCGAACGGAAAGGUCUCUUCGGAGACACUCGAGUGGCGAACGGGUGAGUAACACGUGGGCGAUCUGCCCUGCACUUCGGGAUAAGCCUGGGAAACUGGGUCUAAUACCGAAUACGACCACGGGAUGCAUGUCUUGUGGUGGAAAGCUUUUGCGGUGUGGGAUGAGCCCGCGGCCUAUCAGCUUGUUGGUGGGGUAACGGCCUACCAAGGCGACGACGGGUAGCCGGCCUGAGAGGGUGUCCGGCCACACUGGGACUGAGAUACGGCCCAGACUCCUACGGGAGGCAGCAGUGGGGAAUAUUGCACAAUGGGCGCAAGCCUGAUGCAGCGACGCCGCGUGGGGGAUGACGGCCUUCGGGUUGUAAACCUCUUUCACCAUCGACGAAGGUCCGGGUUUUCUCGGAUUGACGGUAGGUGGAGAAGAAGCACCGGCCAACUACGUGCCAGCAGCCGCGGUAAUACGUAGGGUGCGAGCGUUGUCCGGAAUUACUGGGCGUAAAGAGCUCGUAGGUGGUUUGUCGCGUUGUUCGUGAAAUCUCACGGCUUAACUGUGAGCGUGCGGGCGAUACGGGCAGACUAGAGUACUGCAGGGGAGACUGGAAUUCCUGGUGUAGCGGUGGAAUGCGCAGAUAUCAGGAGGAACACCGGUGGCGAAGGCGGGUCUCUGGGCAGUAACUGACGCUGAGGAGCGAAAGCGUGGGGAGCGAACAGGAUUAGAUACCCUGGUAGUCCACGCCGUAAACGGUGGGUACUAGGUGUGGGUUUCCUUCCUUGGGAUCCGUGCCGUAGCUAACGCAUUAAGUACCCCGCCUGGGGAGUACGGCCGCAAGGCUAAAACUCAAAGGAAUUGACGGGGGCCCGCACAAGCGGCGGAGCAUGUGGAUUAAUUCGAUGCAACGCGAAGAACCUUACCUGGGUUUGACAUGCACAGGACGCGUCUAGAGAUAGGCGUUCCCUUGUGGCCUGUGUGCAGGUGGUGCAUGGCUGUCGUCAGCUCGUGUCGUGAGAUGUUGGGUUAAGUCCCGCAACGAGCGCAACCCUUGUCUCAUGUUGCCAGCGGGUAAUGCCGGGGACUCGUGAGAGACUGCCGGGGUCAACUCGGAGGAAGGUGGGGAUGACGUCAAGUCAUCAUGCCCCUUAUGUCCAGGGCUUCACACAUGCUACAAUGGCCGGUACAAAGGGCUGCGAUGCCGUGAGGUUAAGCGAAUCCUUUUAAAGCCGGUCUCAGUUCGGAUCGGGGUCUGCAACUCGACCCCGUGAAGUCGGAGUCGCUAGUAAUCGCAGAUCAGCAACGCUGCGGUGAAUACGUUCCCGGGCCUUGUACACACCGCCCGUCACGUCAUGAAAGUCGGUAACACCCGAAGCCAGUGGCCUAACCCUCGGGAGGGAGCUGUCGAAGGUGGGAUCGGCGAUUGGGACGAAGUCGUAACAAGGUAGCCGUACCGGAAGGUGCGGUUGGAUCACCUCCUU